rnacentral:lncRNA from 1 species
UUUUUUUUUUCCUUUUUUUUUUCCUUAGGAUACUUCUGAACUGGUGAGGUGUGCUCACAAUGAGGUUUCCUCUAAAACUUAUUUUUUUUUACUUUGUUGUUGUUGUUGUUAGCAAAGCAAUUGCCGCUACAGAUUAAAUGCAUUUGGGCCAUCCGCGGGUUACUGGGUUAAGGAUUUUUUAUAGGAAGGCCUCAGUGCUUUUGGGAUACACCCUCGUUUACACUGACAACAAAGUGGUAUUGGAGUGUUAUCGGGUUAUGGAGAAUACCUUCAGUUAUCAAUUAUAAGUUUUAAAUUUACCUUGGCUUUUAAAGAAAUGGGGUAUACUUUUUUUUUCAUAACUACUUAUAUAUCUCUCUCUUUCUCUCUUUAACUUUGUCUUUCUCUGACUUUCCUUUUGCCUCUGUCUCUUCCUCUCUCUCUCUGCCUCUUUUCCUCUCUGUCUCUUUCCUUUCUCUCUCUCUGCUGGUCUUUCCUUGCCUCUGCCAGCCUCUUAUGCUGCUGUUCUCUCAACCACUGUGUGUUGGGGGCGGGGGGUCUAAAACCGGUUGUAACCAAGUGUCUAUGUACAGGAAUUGGUCUGGGUUCCCUGGCUUACAUGUUACCUUGUGCCAUACCUUUGAAACAAGGGACCUGUCCAGGCUUCUUUCUAAUGGCCAGCCUACCUCUAAUGCUGGCCAGUCUAUCUUACACAAAGUUUUAAGUUUUCCUGGUGUCAUAGUACUCCAUAGUCUCCCUUAAAUUCUUUUUUGAAAAUUUUCAACGUAGUUCCUAGUAGGGCGGGCUUAUUUGUGCCUGACCUAUGCUUCUUCAAGACAAAACACGAUGCUCACACCACAUGCACACCACAAAACAAAGAAUGGAUAAAAAGGGCACACACACACUUAGGCAGUUUUCACCAAACCAAAAUCAGAGUAUCCAGAAAUCCAAGCCGGGCCAAAACCAAAACCAAAGUAUCAAGCAAUCCAAGUCAAGUCAAAAACAAAGACCAAAGUGCUGGUACAAGCACACCGUGGGUGAUCAGGCCACACUUCCACUCAAAUGGAGCGGGCAAGUUCUUAAGACCAGUCCUGUCAAGCAAUUCAAACCAAGUCAAAGCCAAAACCAAAGUGCCGAUAAAGGCACACUGUGGGUGAUCAGGCCACGCUUCCACUCAAAUGGAGUGGGUAAGUUUCCGAGACUAGUCUUACCAACUUUUAGAUGUCCAGACUCCAAGUGCCUGUUCCUUCCUGGUGUUCAGCCACUGCGUUGAUCCUCCACGGGGGCCUGCCACACACCGCUCUUGCGAGGUGUCCUACCGCGGCAAAUGCCUACCCAGGAGCUCUCUCAGGAUCCGCAUCGCUCUGGCUGGUGGGAGUCUCCUGCAGGGAUGUUCCACAGGGCAGGC